UCGGAGUCAAAGUGGCAUAUUUGGGUAUAUCCCUGCCCAUUUGUGUCUCAAAUACUCCCAUAACAACUUUGUAGUAGGGAAGAACGGCAUCCUGAAUAGUGCAUUAUAUUAUAGCAGAUGACUUGAGUUCGUCCACAU
rnacentral:snoRNA from 1 species